GAUGAACGCUGGCGGCGUGCUUAACACAUGCAAGUCGAACGAACCUUCGGGUUAGUGGCGGACGGGUGAGUAACGCGUGAGAAUCUGCCCUCAGGAGGGGGAUAACGGCUGGAAACGGCCGCUAAUACCCCAUAUGCCGAGAGGUGAAAUGAAUUUCGCCUGAGGAUGAGCUCGCGUCUGAUUAGCUUGUUGGUGGGUAAUGGCCUACCAAGGCGACGAUCAGUAGCUGGUCUGAGAGGAUGAUCAGCCACACUGGGACUGAGACACGGCCCAGACUCCUACGGGAGGCAGCAGUGGGGAAUUUUCCGCAAUGGGCGAAAGCCUGACGGAGCAACGCCGCGUGAGGGAUGAAGGCCUCUGGGCUGUAAACCUCUUUUCUCAAGGAAGAAGAUCUGACGGUACUUGAGGAAUAAGCCACGGCUAAUUCCGUG
rnacentral:rRNA from 1 species